UACAGAGGGUGCGAGCGUUGUCCGGAAUCACUGGGCGUAAAGGGCGCGUAGGUGGCUGGGUAAGCGUGUGGUGAAAGUCCGGGGCUCAACCCCGGAUCGGCCAUGCGAACUGCCGAGCUCGAGCGAUGUAGAGGCAGGUGGAAUUUCGGGUGUAGCGGUGGAAUGCGUAGAUAUCCGAAAGAACACCGGUGGCGAAGGCGGCCUGCUGGGCAUCCGCUGACACUGAGGCGCGACAGCGUGGGGAGCAAACAGG
rnacentral:rRNA from 1 species